UACAGAGACUGCAAGCGUUAUUCGGAUUCACUGGGCGUAAAGGGUGCGCAGGCGGCCAAGUGUGUUAGGCGUGAAAGCCUGAGGCUUAACCUCAGAAUUGCACCUAAAACUACAUGGCUAGAGCAUUGGAGAGGGUAGCGGAAUUCACGGUGUAGCAGUGAAAUGCGCAGAUAUCGGGAGGAACACCAGUAGCGAAGGCGGCACUCUGGGCCGGUACGUGACGCUGAGGAGCGAAAGCGUGGGGAGCGAACAGG
rnacentral:rRNA from 1 species